CCUGGCGCACCUCCCCUUACCCCCUCCUACCUCCCAUCCCAGGUGACUCACCCCACACUUCCCCCAGCCCCCACCCCUGCAAGACAGCCCAGGGGUCUUGGAUAGCCGACCUGGAGCUAGCCACCCGGCUUUGAAUCCAGCUCUGUCACCUGCUAGCUGGAUGGCCUUGGGCAAGUUACUUCAGCCUCCCAUGCCUCAAUUUUCCAUCUAGAAAAAGGACGUAUUAGUGCCUUUUCUCUACGGGCUGCUCAGCCGUGGAGCGCUUGGUGCCUGGCACACGUAAGGGCUCUGUGAGUGCCCCGGAGUGGUGUCGUGCAUCCUGCGUCCCCUCCGGCUGAGCCGGCCACAGGCUGCUCUCGGGAGCCCCGCAUCCUCACCCCGGCCCAGCCGCUCCCCUUCCAGGCCCAAACCCUCUUCUCCUCCUCUGCCUUCCCCUUCCCUCUUGGCACGACCCAGCCUCCCACUUCACACGGAGAGGAGGAACAUCAGGAGGGAACUUCCUGGCCUCCCACGUCCUCCGGCUGGCUGGGGGAGCAGGGGGCCCUCUGCCCCUCCUCCGAUUUGGCUCCUGCCCCCUCUGCUUCCUCAGGAUCCUGCUCCCCCACUCAGCCCCCUUCCCCUCCAUUCAUGAGCAAACCCUACUCCAUAGAAGCUUCCCCCGCUGCAGGCUCUGCCCUUCCUUCCCUAAUUCCUUUGGUCUGAACGGAUGCCAGGAGUCUGUCUGAAACGCCACACGAAUGCCCUCAGGCUGCAGCCUGGAUUAGCCCAUUUCAUAGACCCCCACGGGGGAUGGAUGGCGCCAGGCCCACGGACACAGGGUCCCGCUGCCCCUACCUCUGCCAAGCUCCUUGUGUUGAACCCGACUGGGCCGUGGCACCUGUCACCCGGUCUCUGUGCGGUCCCAGCUCCAGCCAGACGGCACCCUGUUACUGUAGCCGCCGACUAGGCUAAAGUGGGCGGCAUCUCCCCGUGGUGGUCUUUCCUUGCCUUCGGGGCUAGAAGGGGUCACUGGUCCCAACCUCUGCCAAAUAUCCCUCCCUGCCCCCCCACUCCCCGUGGGGAGAAUUCCGAGUGAGGAAACCCAGGCGAUCUGCUUUGAGGCAGCAGGGAGGGGUAAGGCUGUCUCUGGGUGAGCGUCCUCAGGCCCUUUCAGGGGAAAGUGCGGGCCGGUCCCCCAGGGGGUCUGAUGAGUACACACCCUCUUUGCCUUGAACUCUUCCCCCUGCCGGCCAGUGAGACGCUGGGCUGCUCUGCUGACCUACUUCUCUUGAUGAUUGUGGACUCCCCAAGGGCUGCUGCGCUGGGCAAGGCCAUGGGCGUGCAGGCACAUAUACACACCUGUGUGCAACACUCCCGCUUUGGGCUUUGGCCCUGCCAGUCCUUUGGGGCUGUUUCUACGUCCUCUGGGAGGUUGACCGACUGGCAGCUGCAAGUUGCUAGAAGCUCUUUCUCCCCCUCUCCCCUCCUCCCUCGCCCGGGGGCUGUGGGGUACAUGGCUCAUCCCUGCUGCUUUGGCCUCCGAGAUGCACUGUGCAGGCAGCUGUCUGGGUCGGGGGUGCAGCCACAGUGGUGUGGGUCUGGGUCCCACAUUUGCCCCCUGCACUCCGGUUUAGCCCUUGCUUUGACCACCACCCUGCACUGCAUCUCGGUGGCUUCAGUGCCUCUCGAGUCUCCUCUGCCAGUCCCGCUGCCCGCCUUGAUCUCCCCCUGCCCCACAGCCAAUCUUCUCUUUAUCCUCACGCCCCACUCUUCCAGGAAGGCUUCUCUGCUGCCCCAGUGCCGGGUCCUGCCUCUGCUGAGUCCCAGGAUUCACAUAGGGUCUGUGUGGCUCUCUCUGAGGGUUCCUGUUGAAGAUCUUGGGGUGGUCUCCAUUCCGUCCCCUGUCUGUUCCCAUCAACAGGCCAAGAGCUCUCCCGGGGGUAGUGGCUACUUUCUCCCAACCUUUCUUAGUUCCUAGGACCCAGUUUUGGGGGUCCCCACUACUGGCCCCUCCCUCCUUCACAACCUCCCUCUCCCUUCAGACCUGUUCUCUGCCAGCCGUCAGCAGGCGACAAGGAAUUAAUCCACACAGCCCUCCCCGUCGCUGCGUCAUAGCCCCAGGUACACGCUGCCUCUGACCCAGUUACGAUGCAUGUGACUUAAGUGGCACAGUGGGGAGCGAAAGAAACAGCAUGGGCCUUGGGGCUCAGCAGGCUUGCCCUUGAUCCUGCCCUGCGCCACUUUUUAGGUGGGUGACCUUGAGCGAGUCACUUGUCUGGGGAAAAUAACAACAAUGGCAAUAGCAAGCAACUAACGCUGAAAUGGGGCUUACUACCUGCCGGGCCCUGGACUCAGGAUGAGCUCAUCUUAUCUUCCCGAUUCAACGGAGCUGCUGCUGGAGGGUGGCUGUCGGCAGGGUACUGCAUUUCCUGCCUGCCUCGCAUCCGGAUGUGGCCAUGUGACCAGUUUUCCCCAAUGGAACGUGAGCAGCGAUGAUGGAUGUGACUGUCUUUUAAGACUGGGAGGAGUUUCUCCAUUCUCUCAUCGGUCCUAAAAGACAGUGGAGUUACAAGAUAGGAAGGAGGAGCCUGGGUGCCUGGCUGUAGGUCUCCUGGCCAAGAGGAUUACCCACUCUGCAUUUUAUGGGAGCCAGGAGCGAACGGCUAUUGUGUUAGGCUGCUGAGAUACAGGGGCUUGCUUGUUACAGUGGCUAGCACUACUCUAAUCCAAGGAUUAUGUAGCAAGGAGGCCAAAAAGGUAUGAUUUGAACCUCGGUUUGUCCACUUGCCUGGAGGAUGGCCAGUCUCAAAAGAGAGGGGGGCCUGCGCUUACCCUGUCUCCUGGGAGGAUAAUAAUACUGGCAAAUGUU